UCAAGUAAUUAAGUGCAUGUGGUGGAUGCCUUGGCAGUCAGAGGCGAUGAAAGACGUGAUAGCCUGCGAAAAGCUCCGGGGAGGCGGCAAAUAUCCUUUGAUCCGGAGAUGUCUGAAUGGGGGAACCCACCUACUUUAAGGUAGGUAUUGCAACAUGAAUACAUAGUGUUGCAAGGCGAACGAGGGGAAGUGAAACAUCUCAGUACCCUUAGGAAAAGAAAUCAAUUGAGAUUCCCUCAGUAGCGGCGAGCGAACGGGGAUCAGCCCAUUAAGUUAUGUGUGUUUUAGUGGAACGCUCUGGGAAGUGCGAACGUAGAGGGUGAUAUUCCCGUACACGAAAGGGCACACAUAAUGAUGACGAGUAGGGCGAGGCACGUGAAACCUUGUCUGAAUAUGGGGGGACCAUCCUCCAAGGCUAAAUACUCCUGACUGACCGAUAGUGAACCAGUACCGUGAGGGAAAGGCGAAAAGAACCCCUGUGAGGGGAGUGAAAUAGAUCCUGAAACCGCAUGCAUACAAGCAGUGGGAGCACCUUCGUGGUGUGACUGCGUACCUUUUGUAUAAUGGGUCAGCGACUUAUAUUCAGUAGCGAGGUUAACCGUAUAGGGGAGCCGUAGAGAAAUCGAGUCUUAAUAGGGCGUUUAGUUGCUGGGUAUAGACCCGAAACCAGGCGAUCUAUCCAUGAGCAGGUUGAAGGUUGGGUAACACUAACUGGAGGACCGAACCCACUGUCGUUGAAAAGCCAGGGGAUGACUUGUGGAUAGGGGUGAAAGGCUAAUCAAGCCUGGUGAUAGCUGGUUCUCCCCGAAAGCUAUUUAGGUAGCGCCUCGGACGAAUACCAUAGGGGGUAGAGCACUGUUUCGGCUAGGGGGUCAUCCCGACUUACCAAACCGAUGCAAACUCCGAAUACCUAUGAGUACUAUCCGGGAGACAGACUGCGGGUGCUAACGUCCGUAGUCAAGAGGAAAACAAUCCAGACCGCCAGCUAAGGCCCCAAAAUCAUAGUUAAGUGGGAAACGAUGUGGGAAGGCAUAGACAGCUAGGAGGUUGGCUUAGAAGCAGCCACCCUUUAAAGAAAGCGUAAUAGCUCACUAGUCGAGUCGGCCUGCGCGGAAGAUGUAACGGGGCUAAAACUAUGUGCCGAAGCUGCGGAUGUAUACUUUGUAUACGUGGUAGGGGAGCGUUCUGUAAGCCGAUGAAGGUGUGUUGAGAAGCAUGCUGGAGGUAUCAGAAGUGCGAAUGCUGACGUGAGUAACGACAAAACGGGUGAAAAACCCGUUCGCCGAAAGACCAAGGGUUCCAGUCCAACGUUAAUCGGGGCUGGGUGAGUCGACCCCUAAGGCGAGGCCGAAAGGCGUAGUCGAUGGGAAAAUGGUUAAUAUUCCAUUACUUCUGUGUAAUGCGAUGAGAGGACGGAGAAGGCUAAAUCAGCCUGGCGUUGGUUGUCCAGGUGAAAGGAUGUAGGCAUGUAUCUUAGGCAAAUCCGGGGUACUCUAUGCUGAGAUCUGAUAGCAAGCUGUACUUGUACAGCGAAGUGGUUGAUGCCAUGCUUCCAGGAAAAGUCUCUAAGCUUCAGUUACACAGGAAUCGUACCCGAAACCGACACAGGUGGUCAGGUCGAGUAGACCAAGGCGCUUGAGAGAACUCUGCUGAAGGAACUAGGCAAAAUGGUACCGUAACUUCGGGAGAAGGUACGCUGUUGUUGGUGAUGGAACUCGCUUCCUGAGCUGACGACAGCCGCAGAAACCAGGCCGCUGCAACUGUUUAUUAAAAACAUAGCACUCUGCAAACACGAAAGUGGACGUAUAGGGUGUGAUGCCUGCCCGGUGCUGGAAGGUUAAUUGAUGGGGUUAGCGUAAGCGAAGCUCUUGAUCGAAGCCCCAGUAAACGGCGGCCGUAACUAUAACGGUCCUAAGGUAGCGAAAUUCCUUGUCGGGUAAGUUCCGACCUGCACGAAUGGCAUAAUGAUGGCGGCGCUGUCUCCAGCAGAGGCUCAGUGAAAUCGAAAUCGCUGUGAAGAUGCAGUGUACCCGCGGCUAGACGGAAAGACCCCGUGAACCUUUACUGCAGCUUGACACUGAACUUUGACCUUACUUGUGUAGGAUAGGUGGGAGGCUUUGAAGCUGGAACGCUAGUUCCAGUGGAGCCGUCCUUGAAAUACCACCCUGGUAAUGUUGAGGUUCUAACUCUGUCCCGUGAUCCGGGACGAGGACCGUGUCUGGUGGGUAGUUUGACUGGGGCGGUCUCCUCCUAAAGAGUAACGGAGGAGUACGAAGGUGCGCUCAGCGUGGUCGGAAAUCACGCGUAGAGUAUAAAGGCAAAAGCGCGCUUAACUGCGAGACCCACAAGUCGAGCAGGUACGAAAGUAGGUCUUAGUGAUCCGGUGGUUCUGUAUGGAAGGGCCAUCGCUCAACGGAUAAAAGGUACUCUGGGGAUAACAGGCUGAUACCGCCCAAGAGUUCAUAUCGACGGCGGUGUUUGGCACCUCGAUGUCGGCUCAUCUCAUCCUGGGGCUGAAGCAGGUCCCAAGGGUAUGGCUGUUCGCCAUUUAAAGAGGUACGCGAGCUGGGUUUAGAACGUCGUGAGACAGUUCGGUCCCUAUCUACCGUGGGCGCUGGAAAUUUGAGAGGAUCUGCUCCUAGUACGAGAGGACCAGAGUGGACGAACCUCUGGUGUACCGGUUGUGACGCCAGUCGCAUCGCCGGGUAGCUAUGUUCGGAAGGGAUAACCGCUGAAAGCAUCUAAGCGGGAAGCCUACCUCAAGAUAAGAUUUCCCUAGGACUUUAUGUCCUCUAAAGAGCCGUUCGAGACUAGGACGUUGAUAGGUUGUAUGUGGAAGCAUAGUGAUAUGUGAAGCUGACCAAUACUAAUUGCUCGUGAGGCUUGACUA
rnacentral:rRNA from 1 species